rnacentral:lncRNA from 1 species
ACAAAAUGGUGUUACGGAGGGAAAGGAUGGUGUUUGAAUUGCUAGAACAUUUACGUACAGUGAACAUGCAACUAGUACAUGAGUGUCAUGUUUAAAUUUGGAAUUAUUCCGAGUUCGUUUGGCAUUUUUAUGAUUAAUUGAGUUUCUCGGCAUUUAAUGUGCAUAAUUCAAAUUUGAACUACAAGCACAUGUUCCAGUGCACCAAAGUUUGUUGAAAAAACACAUGUGUGUCUUUGGGUCAAUUUAUAGGUGCCAUGCAAGAAAUGGGAAUGAAAUUCAAACAUCUGGGCGUCGUGGCUCGGCCGGAAAGAUUGAGAAACUUGGUUUUUUAAUUCAUGUAAAUCCAAAACAUGCCUGAAAAUCAUGAAACUUCGCAUGGUGUCAUGACAUGGCACCAACAUGCCGCGGUAAUUUUUUUGGCCGAAUUGGGACAAGCUUUGGUAUAAACUUUUUGCAAACCGGAGCUUCUCUCAAGAAGGCUUGUGGUUUCCAGAGGGAACGCGUCACCUCCGUGUGCGAAACGACAUACAUACACUGCCUUCUCCCGCCUUAAUUUUUUUACACAGGCAUAUUAGACCAAAUAGAAGUAUUGUGCUAAAUUUUGUAAUUAUUCCGGGUUCGUUUGGCCAUUUUUAUAUAUUAAUUGAAUUUCUGGGCAUUUAAUGUGCAUAAUUCAAAUUUGAACUACAAGCACAUGCUCCAGUGCACCAACGUUGGUUGAAAAAUCACAUGUGUGUCCUUGGGUGAAUUUCUAGGUCCCAUGCAAGAAAUGGGAAUGAAAUUCAAACAUCUAGGCGUCGUG